rnacentral:rRNA from 1 species
ACGCUGGCGGCACGCCUAACACAUGCAAGUCGAACGAAGUAGCAAUACUUAGUGGCAGACGGGUGAGUAACAUGUAGGUAUCUGCCCUUUGGCCUGGAAUAACACGAGGAAACUUGUGCUAAUACCGGAUAAGUCUUUACGGAGAAAGCUUUAUGCACCAUUGGAUGAGCCUGCACUUGAUUAGUUUGUUGGUGGGGUAAUGGCCUACCAAGACUGUGAUCAAUAGCUGAUUUGAGAGGAUGAUCAGCCACAUUGGGACUGAGACACGGCCCAAACUCCUACGGGAGGCAGCAGUGGGGAAUCUUGCACAAUGGAGGAAACCCUGAUGCAGCGAUGCCGCGUGAGUGAAGAAGGCCCUUGGGUUGUAAAGCUCUUUCGUCGGGGAAGAAAAUGACUGUACCCGAAUAAGAAGGUCCGGCUAACUUCGUGCCAGCAGCCGCGGUAAUACGAAGGGACCUAGCGUAGUUCGGAAUUACUGGGCUUAAAGAGUUCGUAGGUGGUUGAAAAAGUUAGUGGUGAAAUCCCAGAGCUUAACUCUGGAACUGCCAUUAAAACUUUUCAGCUAGAGUAUGAUAGAGGAAAGCAGAAUUUCUAGUGUAGAGGUGAAAUUCGUAGAUAUUAGAAAGAAUACCAAUUGCGAAGGCAGCUUUCUGGAUCAUUACUGACACUGAGGAACGAAAGCAUGGGUAGCGAAGAGGAUUAGAUACCCUCGUAGUCCAUGCCGUAAACGAUGUGUGUUAGACGUUGGAAAUUUAUUUUCAGUGUCGCAGGGAAACCGAUAAACACACCGCCUGGGGAGUACGACCGCAAGGUUAAAACUCAAAUGAAUUGACGGGGACCCGCACAAGUAGUGGAGCAUGUGGUUUAAUUCGAAGAUACGCGCAGAACCUUACCAACACUUGACAUGUUCGUCGCGACUCUAAGAGAUUAGAGUUUUCGGUUCGGCCGGACGAAACACAGGUGCUGCAUGGCUGUCGUCAGCUCGUGUCGUGAGAUGUUGGGUUAAGUCCCGCAACGAGCGCAACCCUCACUUUUAGUUGCCAUCAUUAAGUUGGGCACUCUGAAAGAACUGCCAGUGAUAAGCUGGAGGAAGGUGGGGAUGACGUCAAGUCCUCAUGGCCCUUACGUGUUGGGCUACACACGUGCUACAAUGGUAUCUACAACAGGAAGCAAGACUGCGAAGUUAAGCAAAUCCCUAAAAGAUACCUCAGUUCGGAUUGCACUCUGCAACUCGAGUGCAUGAAGCUGGAAUUACUAGUAAUCGUGGAUCAGCGUGCCACGGUGAAUGCGUUCCCGGGUCUUGCACUCACCGCCCGUCA